GGAAUCUGGUGAGAAUCCAGAACGGUCGCGCCACUGUGAGAGUCAGACCCGACGCCUGCUUCACCCCACUCGGGACGCGCAAUCCCGGAAAGGACCCCCCAAUGACGUCACCGCAAGCUCAGAAGAC
rnacentral:ncRNA from 2 species